GUAGAUGUUUAAUAAGAAAUCAAUUAAUUACAUCAAUGAAACAAAUAUUUCAUAUUAAAUCAAUAAUAAAUCAAUAAAUGGACAGAAAGAGAGAAACACUUGGCAAUAUGACUGUAUGCAAUUAUAUAACCUUUGCUCCAAAUCACAGGAGCACACAUGCUCACACUCAUGCUGUAUCUUAACACAGCUCAAUCGAUGUUGUUUCAGGAUCUUCGUACCUAUCGUAACCUUUGUUUUUUUGUCGAUCUGCUGUGCUGGCUGCUGUAAAGUAUUCCAGCGAGUUCGUAAGGAGCGCGUGGAGCAUGUGCAGACUCAAGUUCGAGCCGUGGAUCAACCGUCUGUCUACGUCAUUCCCAUCUCUCUGUCUGAAGAUGAGCUGCACAGACCACCGCGCUACAGCACUGUACAGUUCUACGAGCCGCCCCCUGCUUAUCACGAGUUGAAUCUGAAGCCCGAGGCCUUUCCUGUGGAACCCCCUCCUGCAUAUUCAGAAUCUGUCUCUCCUUCACCCUCACAUUCAUGAUCAUAAGCGCAUCUCAAGCACUUGGACUGGUUAAAGGAAAAAUAAGAAGCAACGUCAUAUUCUCAUGACUUUUCCAAGUACUACUCAUGCUACCUAUGCAAAGGUUUAAAUGGUGAGAAAGAUAAUGUCACAGUUAUAAUAAUCUGUGACUCUGUUGGGAUUUUGAACAUGUCCUACAGGCUCACAAAGACAGUUUUGCACAAUGAGCAGCAGAACUUGGUUAAAGGUUUAAAAGUAUAUAUGUUUUGUGAAUAUUUAUCAAUUUUGUACAUGCUAUAGCUAAACUUUUUUUGUUAACUUUGUGAAAAUGUGUUCAUUUAUAAGAAAUGUUGUAAAUGGUUGACCUGUUGAAACUGUAUGAUUAAAAUAAUGUUGUAUAAACACUGGCUCUUAAUAAUAUCCUCAAUAUAUACCUGAGAAUAUGUUAAUGUUAUCGAGAGAUAAGAAACGAUGUGUAGUAUAAGCCAUCUUUCUUACUGUCACUCUUCAUAGUCAACAUGCCUCCUGAGCUGCACCCUCAGGAACCAAAGACCAGAGCAUUACCACUGCCACUGCCCUCAUGGUCCUACACAGACAUAAGCCAAUGCAUUUAUUAUAACUCAUAAAAUAUGAACCAUAUAGUUAAAACAACACCUUUGGAGAAUUCACAGCUUUGGCUAUUUAUGAAGGUGCAUUGACAGUUAAAU
rnacentral:lncRNA from 1 species